rnacentral:rRNA from 1 species
AACGCGAAGAACCUUACCCAGGCUUGACAUCCUUGGAAUUUCUCUGAAAAGAGAGAGUGCUUUAUUGAGCCAAGUGACAGGUGGUGCAUGGCCGUCGUCAGCUCGUGUCGUGAGAUAUUUGGUUAAGUCCAUCAACGAGCGCAACCCUUAUGAAUAGUUGAAUUUUUCUAUUCAGACUGCCCUGGUAACAGGGAGGAAGGAGGGGAUGAAGUCAGGUCAGUAUUUCCCUUACGCCUGGGGCUACAAACACGCUACAAUGGCCGGUACAAAGGGCUGCUAAGUCGCGAGAUGGAGCAAAUCCCACCAAAACCGGUCCCAGUUCGGAUAGCAGGCUGAAACUCGCCUGCUUGAAGCCGGAAUCGCUAGUAACGGUGAGUCAGCACAUCACCGUGAAUACGUUCCCGGGCCUUGUACACACCGACAUA